UUGCAGAGACGUGCUAAGACCACCACUUGUCUGUUAUAUGCGCGCAAAAAAAUAGACUAUGAGUUAGACAGGAAAAAUACAUGUUUAGAAUUGACAAUUGAUCGCAUGGCGCAUGAAUGACUGCAAUUAAUUUAUUAUUGAAUAUUGCAAUGGACAAAGCUUUGUAAAACCAAAACGUACACAGCCUCUGCUCAACAAACUCAAACUCUAGAACGAAUCGUUCCAGGGGCUGCAUUUCGCGAACGACUGUUCUUAUCACCAGAGAGGAAGAGGAAGAGAGAGGCCCAAUUUGGCGGAAAAUGGGUCUCCCGCCAGCAGGUGGCGUUUGUUCGUUGUUUCUCCCACCAAGCAAGGAGUUUUUGUAUGGAUGUCCAAUGAGUGUCGAAUUUGGCCAACAGAAAUGAAUGGCUUUUUUUGCUACGUGAGGUUUAAUUGAUCGAACAUAAGUUUCGUAAUACUUAAGUUGUUACAAGUGUAUUGAUAUAAGUAGGACACAUGACAUCCCGGUAACUUUGGGGGGAAAAAACAGAAGAGGAAAGAGGCCACGUUUUAGAGACAAAAUAAAUAAAUGCUGAAACUGAUGUUGGACAAAUUCGAUAUGUUAAUAAAAUUCACAUUCGAUAUGUUAAUAAACGAAAAUCGUUAAGGCUGGAUCAUUGACAUAAAGCUUAUUUUACACUGCUCCAACGAAAUGAGGUAGAAUUCUCGCCUGCCACGCGGGAGGCCCGGGUUCGAUUCCCGGCCAAUGCGCCACAUUGAUGCUGUUAACCCGGAUCACUGGUUGCUGGGGAAAAGGAGGAGGUCAAAAGGGGGUUUACCAUCCAGAGGAUCCCUCGUAGCCUUGAGGUCUGUCAGUCCUGGAGUUCCUCUGUGGUCACCACUCUGAACGCCCUGGUGUAUUCCUUCUCUCUUCGAUUCAGGCCAGACAUGGUGCUGUGUAACAGCUCAGGGACCUGCGUCCCCCUGUGCGAUGCAGGAGUUAUCCUGGGAUUGAAGAUGGUCCUGAUUGUCUACAUCGAAAGCAUCGGCAGAGUUGAGAGCCUGUCCCUCUGUGGGAAGAUCCUCUACCCUCUCAGACUUCAUACAACUUUUUCAUUAUGUUACAAAUGGGAACACUUUGCUCUGAAAAAAAAAUGCUUAAUAGUUUGCUUGAAUGACAUACUGUGACGGACAUUUUUCUACAACUCCAAUGGAAAGACUUUGGAACAUAGAGCCCUAUACAUAGUUACUAUGUAAAGAUGCUUCGGAUAAGUGGAAUGUGUUAUGUAAUGUCACUUUCAUUUAUGGUACAGAGAACAGUGUGAAGAAAUACAAAAUAUAUGUAGCUAUAGCUGACUUGAGUGAGGUGUUGGUGUAAGCUAACUACCAUUGAAUUAAUCAAGCUAUUUCACAACCUCAGCUUUCUGGUUUUGAAUUAAAACUGAUGAAGAGGAACAGAGAGAACACACCAAAACAUUAUGUCAAAGACAGAACAGUGGAACCAGCUGUUUGUAUUGCUGUGUAGUGAUAAAGCAGCUGUCAUUGUGAGAGGAACCCAGUAUAAAGACAGAUGCAAGACAGCAUAUUAGUAUUUCUGAACAAGGGUCCUAUAACCAUGCCACGUAGUACUAUCAAUGAACAACAUCAGGUAUUAUGAGGGAAAUUUUUGAAAAGUUUUAUGCACAUUUAAUUAAUACUCUUGCCAAAAUGAAAAGGACGAGCUCUGUCUUCAGAGUUGUGGAAGGAUAGGUUUUAUUUCAGCCGUACUCUUUGACAUUAUGUUUUACUUGUACAUCUCUCUCACUAAUAACACCUUUCCAUCCUGCACGGCAGGAAGAGCAAAUUAAAAGCAUAUUUGUGUGCUUGCAUCAAGUGUGACUGAAACGGACAACCAAACACUUCCUUGAAUGAUAGUCAUUGAUAUUUAAUUAUAGGGACCGUUUUUUUAAGACAACAAACGCUUCAAAGCAAAGAUUGCUGUUGUCUUUGGAGCAUUUGAAUUAUACUGAACAAAAAUCUAAAAGCAACAUGCAACAAUUUCAUUUUUUUUGUGUUACAGUUAAUAUACGGAAAUCAGUCAAUUGAAAAACAUUUAAUAGGCCCUAAUCUAUGGAUUUCACAUGUCUGGGUAGGGGCACACUGGGGAGUCAGGCACCGGCCUAUCAAACAGGCUUUAUUACAGACAGAAAUACUGUUUCAUCAGUUGUCCGGGUGGUUGGUCUCAGAUGAUCCCGCAGAUG